AGGUAGUGACAAGAAAUAACAAUACAGGGCAAUUGUCUUGUAAUUGGAAUGAUGGUGACCUAAACCCUCACCAGAGUAACAAUUGGAGGGCAAGUCUGGUGCCAGCAGCCGCGGUAAUUCCAGCUCCAAUAGCGUAUAUUAAACUUGUUGCAGUUAAAAAGCUCGUAGUUGAAUUUCUGCGUCACCGUAUUUUGACUUUUGUCGACUGUCGGUUUCGCUUUUGGGAUUUAUCCCUUUUUACUUUGAGAAAAUUAGAGUGUUUCAAGCAGACUUUUGUCUUGAAUACUUCAGCAUGGAAUAAUAGAGUAGGACUUCGGUUCUAUUUUGUUGGUUUGUGAACCUUAGUAAUGGUUAAUAGGAACG
rnacentral:rRNA from 1 species